ensembl:lncRNA
AGGGGCAGCUUCAUUCUCUCUUCCAGGAUGUCGGGCCUUCUGACCAGCUCUCUUCUGCUCUUCCUCUCCCUGACGCUGUUUCAGAUCCCCACACCAGAGGCAAAGCCUCUCUCUACCAUGCGUGGAGGAGGUCGCAGCUUUGACACCCAGGCAGGUGGAGUCCGUCUGCGAAGAGACCUGCGUGAUUCAGUGCCCUACGAGGCCCAGAUGAUGUCUUACCCCGCUGCUGACUUCAGGAGUCGGAGCAAUGAUCUGUACUACCAACCAGAGGUCUUAAGAGCUCAAGGUGUUGGACAAGCCCUCCAGCGGCUAGUGGAGAAUGAUCAGAGGCGGGAUCAGGAAGCAGCAUAUCUGGCAUCAAUGCUGCGUCUCCUGAACGAGGCACAGAAUAACGGGCAGGGCAAACCAGAGGAAGAGGAGGAGGAGGAGGGUGAUUUCCAGGGCCCGUACCCUCCAGACUACGACGAGACCGAGCAGGCUGUGAGCAUGGCGAAGCCCCAGGCCUCAUGGCAGGGCCUUCUGGAUCCUCAGCUUACUCAGGCUCUACUCAACCGCUACAAGCAGGAGAGACUGAUGCAGGCUGGACUCGCUCCGAACACCAACAGGAUACCAGAGAGAGAGCAGGACAAAGACCAAGAGAUGCUCAGGUACCUUGUUGAGAAGAUCCUCUCCAGCUUGGGAUCGGGUGGCAAUCAGGGAGGCCCUUCAAACCAGCGUGCUAAACGGGACCUGAGCAUUGUGGCCAACAUGGAGCAAUCUGGAGGAUCCGCCCUAAAACGCUCCCGCCGGUCCUUGGACUCCGCCCCUGGCCCCUCCCCCCAUGCUGAGGCAUCACUGCUGAGGGUGAAACGGCUCGAUGGCGACAUGGACGACGACGAGGUUGCAGGGCAGAGCAACAGAAUGCCACACGUCGGUCUACAGAGAAUGAAGCGCAUAGACACUGACCUGCCACCCCCCAAAAACCACAGCCGCAAGCGCAGAGCCCUGACCUACGACCCCGCUCUGAUCGCACAGCACAUCCUGCAGUACCUGCCAGCCUAA